CAUGUAGCAGGACCUGAUGGCACUGAGCCUGGGCAGCAUGGAGUGCUGCAGGGAAAUGCGCUCUGGCAUCUCUGGAAGCCAUGCAAGGGACUCAUUCAACAAAUUGUUUGCUGAGUAUCAAUGCACAGCAGGUGUCAUGGCCCGCAGUCCCCUGAAAUUUGCAGCCCUGGAUUUAGGACAUUUCUGCCUCACUGAAGCCCAAUCCAGGAUCUGCAAAGUUUGGGGGAGAUAAACAGUGUUUCCUGGAGAUUCACUUCCUUCGGCACUCUUUUGAAUAAAUUUCUGUGUUCAUCAUUAC
ensembl:lncRNA